rnacentral:tRNA from 1 species
GGGUGUGUAGCUCAGUGGUAGAGCAUUUCACUGAUAAUGAAAAGGUCGGAGGUUCGAUCCCUCCCACACCCACCA